rnacentral:rRNA from 1 species
UGGGGAAUUUUGGACAAUGGGCGAAAGCCUGAUCCAGCAAUGCCGCGUGUGUGAAGAAGGCCUUCGGGUUGUAAAGCACUUUUGUCCGGAAAGAAAUCCUUGGCUCUAAUACAGUCGGGGGAUGACGGUACCGGAAGAAUAAGCACCGGCUAACUACGUGCCAGCAGCCGCGGUAAUACGUAGGGUGCAAGCGUUAAUCGGAAUUACUGGGCGUAAAGCGUGCGCAGGCGGUUUGCUAAGACCGAUGUGAAAAUCCCCGGGCGUCAACCUAGGGAACUGGCAAUUGGUGACUGGCAGGCUAGAGUAUGGCAGAGGGGGGUAGAAUUCCACGUGUAGCAGUGAAAUGCGUAGAGAUGUGGAGGAAUACCGAUGGCGAAGGCAGCCCCCUGGGCCAAUACUGACGCUCAUGCACGAAAAGCGUGGGGAGCAAAACAGGAUUAGAUACCCUGGUAGUCCACGCCCUAAAACGAUGUCAACUAGUUGUUGGGGAUUCAUUUCCUUAGUAACGUAGCUAACGCGUGAAGUUGACCGCCUGGGGAGUACGGUCGCAAGAUUAAAACUCAAAGGAAUUGACGGGGUCAUAGCUGUUUCCU